rnacentral:lncRNA from 1 species
GAAAGGAAAAAAGUAGCACAUAAGAGUAAAUAAAACAGAAAAUAGAGGUUAAUCAUGAAAAUAUACAGCAAUGUAAGAUUAAAUCAUACGGUGACUUUAUGAUCUAACGCUGAUCCGUUAGAAACUAACUUCAAUCUACCUUCUUGUCUUUUUUUUUUAUUUUUUUGGUCAAACCAUACUUAUAUUUAAAUUAGAGAGGUUUAAGCUUAGGAGGAUAAAACAAAGCUACAUCGAGCAAAACAAAUCAAAAAGCUGGUAGAAUAAAAUAUAGGAUGGCGAUACAAAUCACAUAAAGAAGCUGUAAGAACUCGCAUUAAAACGGUUUCAUAAACUUCUUAAAAUAUCGCAUCUAGUGUAACCCAUAGGACAACACAUGCACCAGACGCAGAGGAGAGCAUUUUCUGGGAGAAAGAUCCUUGCAAUGCCAACAACGCUUAUUCAUCCAAUUCACUCCACACAUGAAGAAAUAUUGAAAAAUAGACUGCUCCAAACAUGAGACAAACGGGUAAUCUGUACCCGCCACAAUCAUAUUCCAGCUAAGUAUACCAAUGAGCUUCUCUAUCAACCGCCACCGAAAGGAGAAAUACAAACACACAACACCCAAAGCUAGGAUGAAUAUGGUAAGAGGACUGCAUACAACAGUAAGACUGCACACAGCAGUAAGAGAACUGCACACAGCAAUACGAGAUCGCACUGAGGCGACAUAAGGGCCACCAAGGAGCACAAAGGUAGAACCAACAGAAGUUAAUUUCAUCCGUGCAUCAUAGAUCAAAGCUAUGGUCCUAAAUUCAAUUGUCAUCCAGAAAAAUAACUUUAUAUCCCGUUCAACAGAAGAGAAAAAACUGAAAUUAACGAGUAAAAGUGAACCUUGAGACCCGUAAAAAGGUUUAGAAAGAUUGCUAAACCUUUUUCAUCGUUUGGCAAUCUUGUCGUCGUUUCAUCUCUAACUAGCCGCAUAUUAGUUAAUCGCUAUCACUUCUUCACCGUCAGUUUGUCACCGUCAGUUUGUCACCGUCGACAGAUCAUUACCCUCAGCUCAUCGAACGAAUCAUUGGAUAACUUGUUUUUUUCAUCGUCAGAUAUCGUGGGUUCUCUAAUCGGAGAUGUCAUCGGUACUUCCACCAUCUGCAGUUUUGAUUAAUUGAUAUCCUCUUGUGAUUUAGGUCUAUAUUAGAUUUAUUAUGCUGUGUUUGAAUGAAUUAGGUUAUGUGCUUUGGUUUUUGUUCUGAUUAGUUGCAUGAUUCAAAACUACACUAUUGAAUCUGAUUAAUUUUAUGAAUGGUGACCAAGAAAUGAUGGGGAAUAAUGCAUUCCCUAAUGUUCCUAAAAAAAAUUACCAUUCACAAAGAAUAAUUUUUCUUUCUUAUUUCCUCUUAUUCCUUUUAGGUAGAAAAAUAAAAAACAAAAUUAUUCCUUGUUAAAUUUGAGAAAAAAUAAUCAUUCUUUUUUAUUCCUCUAUGUUCCUUUUCUAUUCGUUCAUUUUAUUUCCAGAAUGGUCACCAGUCGGACCCUUAGAAAAAAAAAAAACCAGCUGACUGGACUUGAAUUCAAUUAACGUUCAAGAGUUGUGAAUUAACUCUAAUCGAAUAUGUUAGUAGUUAAUACAGAGAUAAGAAAAUAAAGAAGAAAAUACAAAAAGAGUGGUUCUUUUUCUUUUUCCUUUUGAACAAAAAAGAGUGGUUCAAGUGUCUGAGAAUUCAUCACUUUUUGUUGAUGAUUUUCCUUGUUAACAUAUUAUAUCUUAAGUGACAAAAGCAUUUCCCAGAGGGUUUAUAGUGUUAGUGAUAUUUUAACUUAUUUUACCAUUGAUUUUGAUCUCAUUUACUUCAUACUUCCUAAAUGUUUUUUAGGUUAGUGACCAAGGUGUUGAUAAUGAUGGAAGCAACAUUCACGAAGUGACAUUCAGCCAACCAACAUUCAUAUUGAGGAUAUUUGUGAAGUAUAUAAUAGUCAAAGUGGCUUUUUUACAAAACUUGUGUGGAAUUUCAAUUGGUGUUGAUCAUAAUGUGCCUAGAAAACAAUAUGUAAAUUGUUUAUAUGCAUUUCUUCUUUCUGAACUAUCAUGAUAGCUCUCAUAAAUAUGUACUAACACUUCCA